rnacentral:lncRNA from 1 species
UGUGUUGAAAGAAUCUAUACCCGUUACAAAUGUUUGUGUUGUUUUAAACUUGCUAUAAAAAAUUAAGUUGUAAAUUAAAAUGAAACAAUGAUCGAAGGACCUGAUAGUUUUAAAAAGUCACAUAGAUUUACCUUUGAUUCUUUGGGAUGGCAGGCGCAGCAUCUGAAACUAAGUACAAAGGAAGCGGUUCAUUUAAAGAGCAAGAAAAAAAGUGAAUGGGCUAAAGAUGCGUGUAAUAUGAUGAUGCCAAGAACUGAAAAACUUAUAGGUGAUCUCAACAGCAAGAUUGACAAUCUCAACGCGAGCAAGGCGAAACUAAUUAAGGAAAUUGAUUAAACAUCAAAGGAACUUGAAAGAAAAGAAAAGCAACUGUCGAGUCUAAUGAAACAAAAUGCAACCAGAAAGGAGGGAGCUAGAAUAAACAAAAUUAAAAUAGACCAACUUCAGUUGGAUGUCAAAAAUUUAAAAGCCGUUUUGAUGGAAAUGGAAGAACGACUGAAAUUAAUAAAAAAGCAACUAGAAGAGGAAAAGAAAAAAUCCAAGGAUGCAAAGGAAGCAGAUAAGUUGAGGACAGAAAUAAAACAACAUGAAGAUUCUUUAAACAAAACAAAGGACAAGAAAAAAGAAGUAACUACUGAUAUCAGAAAUUUAAAGAAGAAUUUAAAAGGGUAAAAGAAUGAAUUACGUAGUUUGUUUUAUACGAGGACUGGGUCUGUUCAUUAAUUAUAAUUCAUGUUGAAGUGAAAGUUUCUUGCUUCCUUUACUUGAGGGACAAAAUUAACUUUUAAGAAUCACAAGAAGAUUUACAUGAUUGAGGCAAUAGCUAGACCCAGUGAAAAUGAAAGACGAAAUUGGGCAUACUUUACAGCUUUUCACUUCUUGUGAGACUAUCCUUCUCUUGAAGAUAUGUCUAUAGUCAAUUAGAAACACCAGUACAAUAUGGGGUUGAUCAUAAUUUAAAGACACUAUGGUCACGUGACUGAGGCAGUGAUUAAAACAUUAAUACUGCGUGUUUUGACAUCAGGAAAUACCUGCUUUCACUUUCAUUUUACACAGCAGUUUCGACACAAACUUGGAAUCAAAAAAGUUGCUUAAAAUCAUCCACAAUCAAGCAUCAAUUAAGAUACUAUCUGGCUUAAGAAGAGUCGGUCUAUACAAGGCGGGCAAAUAGCACAGUAUACCUAUACGAACUACAUUUGAGCAGACCACGAGAGUACAUCAGAGUACACCAUUUUCCUUUCAUUUUAAUAAGCGUAUUCUAAUUGUGUAAGCCAUUUUUCCGAUUUCUUUCCGACUUUUUUGUCACACUUGCACACCUGAAUGUUCGUUCUGUCCUCCAUAGAAUUUUUUAAUGUUCUAAAUGUGUUUCUGAAAUGUUUCUGAAUAAAAUAAGAUUAUAAAAUUCCUUUACUACAUGGGUCAUUUUUCACGCUACGGUGCUAUGAAAAUUGGGAAACUUGAGCACAGUUAAAAGUCUUAUACCCGCGUUUUUCAACAAAACUCACAUUGUCUGUUUGUAGGAUAAGGAUUUAUUUGCAGCCCUUAUUUUAGGGCGUGUUGCAUUAUUAAAUAUUUUAUCGUUUUUGGUUUAAGCCCAUUUCAACUGCUUCAUAAAUAGUUAAAUGCAAUUUUUCACGGA